GAUGAAGAACGUAGUGAAAUGCGAUAAGUAGUGUGAAUUGCAGAAUUCAGUGAAUCAUCGAAUCUUUGAACGCACAUUGCGCCCUUUGGUAUUCCUUAGGGCAUGCCUGUUCGAGCGUCAUUUAAACCUUCAAGCCCUGCUUGGUGUUGGGUGCCUGUCCCGCCCCCGCGCGUGGACUCACCUCAAAUCCAUUGGCGGCCCCCGCAAGGCCACGAGCGCAGCAGAAACGCAAACUCGUGUGCCCGGCGGGCGGCUCCCAGAAGCUACACCCACCAUUUUGACCUCGGAUCAGGUAGGGAUACCCGCUGAACUUAAGCAUAUCAAUAAGCGGAGGA
rnacentral:misc_RNA from 1 species